AGUGAACGCUGGCGGUAGGCCUAACACAUGCAAGUCGAACGGCAGCACAGGAGAGCUUGCUCUCUGGGUGGCGAGUGGCGGACGGGUGAGGAAUACAUCGGAAUCUACUUUUUCGUGGGGGAUAACGUAGGGAAACUUACGCUAAUACCGCAUACGACCUACGGGUGAAGGCAGGGGACCUUCGGGCCUUGCGCGAUUGAAUGAGCCGAUGUCGGAUUAGCUAGUUGGCGGGGUAAAGGCCCACCAAGGCGACGAUCCGUAGCUGGUCUGAGAGGAUGAACAGCCACACUGGGACUGAGACACGGUCCAGACUCCUACGGGAGGGAGCGGUGGGGAAUAUUGGACGAUGGGCGCAAGCCUGAUCCAGCCAUACCGGGUGGGUGAAGAAGGCCUUCGGGUUGUAAAGCCCUUUUGUUGGGAAAGAAAUCCAGCUGGCUAAUACCCGGUUGGGAUGACGGUACCCAAAGAAUAAGCACCGGCUAACUUCGUGCCAGCAGCCGCCGUAA
rnacentral:rRNA from 1 species